UACAGAGGGGGCAAGCGUUGUUCGGAAUUACUGGGCGUAAAGGGCGCGUAGGCGGCCUUCUAAGUCGAACGUGAAAUCCCCGGGCUCAACCCGGGAACUGCGUCCGAUACUGGGGGGCUUGAAUCCGGGAGAGGGAUGUGGAAUUCCAGGUGUAGCGGUGAAAUGCGUAGAUAUCUGGAGGAACACCGGUGGCGAAGGCGGCAUCCUGGACCGGUAUUGACGCUGAGGCGCGAAAGCUAGGGGAGCAAACGGG
rnacentral:rRNA from 1 species